GAACCCAGCACGAGUUAUGUCGUGUUAUCGACAAGUGAAUUCAUAGCUUGUCAGAAGGCAGACCCGGAGAACUGAAACAUCUUAGUACCCGGAGGAAGAGAAAGAAAAAUCGAUUCCCUGAGUAGCGGCGAGCGAAACGGGAAGAGCCCAAACCAAUAAGCUUGCUUAUUGGGGUUGUAGGACACUCUAUACGGAGUUACAAAGGAAUAUAUUAGACGAAUCAUCUGGAAAGUUGAAUCAAAGAAGGUAAUAAUCCUGUAGUUGAAAAUAUAUUCUCUCUUGAGUGGAUCCUGAGUACGACGGAGCACGUGAAAUUCCGUCGGAAUCUGGGAGGACCAUCUCCUAAGGCUAAAUACUCUCUAGUGACCGAUAGUGAACCAGUACCGUGAGGGAAAGGUGAAAAGUACCCCGGAAGGGGAGUGAAAGAGAACUUGAAACCGUGUGCUUACAAGUAGUCAGAGCCCGUUAAUGGGUGAUGGCGUGCCUUUUGUAGAAUGAACCGGCGAGUUACGAUCUGAUGCAAGGUUAAGCAGGAGAUGUGGAGCCGUAGCGAAAGCGAGUCUGAAUAGGGCGUUGAGUAUUUGGUCGUAGACCCGAAACCAGGUGAUCUACCCAUGGUCAGGUUGAAGUUCAGGUAACACUGAAUGGAGGACCGAACCGACUUACGUUGAAAAGUGAGCGGAUGAACUGUGGGUAGCGGAGAAAUUCCAAUCGAACUUGGAGAUAGCUGGUUCUCUCCGAAAUAGCUUUAGGGCUAGCCUCAAGUGAUGAUUAUUGGAGGUAGAGCACUGUUUGGACGAGGGGCCCCUCUCGGGUUACCGAAUUCAGACAAACUCCGAAUGCCAAUUAAUUUAACUUGGGAGUCAGAACAUGGGUGAUAAGGUCCGUGUUCGAAAGGGAAACAG
rnacentral:rRNA from 1 species